rnacentral:rRNA from 1 species
UACGUAGGGCGCAAGCGUUGUCCGGAAUUAUUGGGCGUAAAGAGCUCGUAGGCGGCCUGUUACGUCUGCUGUGAAAUCCCGGGGCUUAACCCCGGGCGUGCAGUGGAUACGGGCAGGCUGGAGGCAGGCAGGGGAGAACGGAAUUCCCGGUGUAGCGGUGAAAUGCGCAGAUAUCGGGAGGAACACCGGUGGCGAAGGCGGUUCUCUGGGCCGAUACUGACGCUGAGGAGCGAAAGCGUGGGGAGCGAACAGG